rnacentral:rRNA from 1 species
GGCAAGCUGCUAGCUUAGGUGACCUGCGGAAGGAUCAUUA